GACGAACGCUGGCGGCGUGCCUAAUACAUGCAAGUAGAACGCUGAAGAGAGGAGCUUGCUCUUCUUGGAUGAGUUGCGAACGGGUGAGUAACGCGUAGGUAACCUGCCUUGUAGCGGGGGAUAACUAUUGGAAACGAUAGCUAAUACCGCAUAACAAUGGAUGACACAUGUCAUUUAUUUGAAAGGGGCAAUUGCUCCACUACAAGAUGGACCUGCGUUGUAUUAGCUAGUAGGUGAGGUAACGGCUCACCUAGGCGACGAUACAUAGCCGACCUGAGAGGGUGAUCGGCCACACUGGGACUGAGACACGGCCCAGACUCCUACGGGAGGCAGCAGUAGGGAAUCUUCGGCAAUGGGGGCAACCCUGACCGAGCAACGCCGCGUGAGUGAAGAAGGUUUUCGGAUCGUAAAGCUCUGUUGUAAGUCAAGAACGAGUGUGAGAGUGGAAAGUUCACACUGUGACGGUAGCUUACCAGAAAGGGACGGCUAACUACGUGC
rnacentral:rRNA from 2 species